ensembl:lncRNA MIR4280HG MIR4280 host gene
ACCCUUUUGAGCAGAUGAGGGCUACGAUGAGCUCUGGAAUUCUUUUGAUUUUUAUGUUUGUCGUUAGUUUUUCAGGCCAGCUGGCUAAGCAGGGACUAUUUCUAGCCUAAAGGAAGCUCUAAGGAAGACCUUGUGAUUUAGUUGCUAAGUACCAGUGUGAUGCAUGAACUCACAGAUGGAGGAGGUGGCCUUGUCAGGAUGCCAAGAAUGCAGAUACUUGAAGGGAAAUUUUAGUGGCGGAAACAGAGACGUUAACUGGCAGAUGAGCCAUUGGAACAUUUCCCAGACAAUAUAGAACAUCUUUCUGACCUUGAGGUCAGGAAGUCCUCCUCGACAAGACACAAAAAAGAAAAAUCACAAAGGAAAAGAAUGACAACUUGACUCCAUCAAAAUUAAAAACAGCUAUUGGUCUGUUACUGGGCUUUGGUGGAAACCGAAUGUUUGACUAUGGAUCAUCAAGUCACCAUGCAACCUGAACUACCUAUCAUGAACUGGGUGCUUUCUGACCUAUCUAGCCAUAAAGUGGGUCAUGCACAGCAGCAUUCCAUCAUCAAAUGAAAGUAUACUUGAUCGGGCUUGAGAAGGUCCUGAAGGCACAAAUAAGUUACAUGAAGAAGUGGCUCAAAUGCCCAUGGUCUCCACUCCUGCCACCCUGCCUCCUCUCCCCUAGCCUGCACCAGUGGCUUCAUGGGGAGUUCCCUAUGAUUAGUUGACAGAGGAAGAGAAGACUAAGGCCUGGUUCACAGAUGAUUCUGCAUGAUAUGCAGGCACUACCUGAAAGUAGACCACUGCAUUACAACCCUUUUCUAGGACAUCCCUGAAGGACAGCAGUGAAGGGAAAUCUUCCCAGUGGGCAGAAUUUCGAGCAGUGCACCUGGUUGUGUACUUUGCCUGGAAGGAGAAAUGUCCAGAUGUGCGAUUAUAUACUGAUUCAUUGGCUGUAGCCAGUGGUUUGGCUGUAUGGUCAGGGACUUGGAAGAAGUAUGAUUGGAAAAUUGGUGACAAAGAAAUUUGGGGAAGAGGUAAGUGGAUGGACCUUUCUGAGUGAUUGAAAACUGAAGAUAUUUGUAUCUCAUGUGAGUGCUCACCAAUGGGUGACCUUGGCGGAGGAGGAUUUCAAUAAUCAAGUGGAUAGGAUGACCUGUUCUGUGGACAUCACUCAGCCUCUUUCCCCAGCCACCUCUCUUAUUCCCCAGUGGACCCAUGAACUAUGUGGUCAUGGUGGCAAGGAUGGAGGUUACACAUGGGCUCAGCAACAUGGACUUCCACUCACCAAGGCUGACCUGGCUACCGCCACUGCUGAGUGCCCAAUUUGCCAGCAGCGGAUACCAACACUGAACCCUCGAUAUGGCGCCAUUCCUCAGAGUGAUCAGCCAGCUACCUGGUGGCAGGUUGAUUAUAUUGGAUCUCUUCCAUCAUAGCAAGGGCAGAGGUUUGUCCUCACUGGAACAGACACUUACUCUGGAUAUGGGUUUGCCUAUCCUGCAUGCAAUGUUUCUGCCAAGACUCCAUCCAUGGAUUCAUGGAAUGCAUUAUCUGUUGUGGGAAGUCAGGGACCCUGAAUAGAGGGACUGGGUGAAGCCACAGCAGAAGAACAUAAAUUGUGAAGAUUUCAUGGACAUUUAUUAAUUCCCUAAAUUAAUACUUUUAUAAUUUCUUAUGCCUGUCUUUACUGCAGUCUCUGAACAUAAAUUGUGAAGAUUUCAUGGACAUUUCUGACUUCUCAAUCAAUACUCUUAUAAUUUCCUAUGCCUGUCUUUACUUUAAUCUCUUAAUCCCAUCAUCUUUGUAAAGUAAGGAUGUAUGUCACCUCAGGACCCUGUGAUGAUUAUGUUAUCUGUAUAAGUUGUUUGUAAAACAUGCGUGUUUGAACAAUAUGAAAUCUGGGCAUCCUAAAAGAACAGGAUAACAGUGAUUUUCAGGGAACAAGGGAAAUAACCAUAAAGUCUGACUGCCUGCGGGGCGGGGCGGGGCAGAACAGAGUCAUAUUUCUCUUCUUGCAAAAGCGAAUAAGAGAAAUAUCACUGAAUUCUUUUUCUCAGCAAGGAACAGCCCUGGGAAAAGAAUGCACUCCCACUGACAGGCCCCUAAAAUGGCCGCUCUGGGAGUGUCUGUCUUAUGCAGUUGUAGAUAAGGGAUGAAAUGUACCCUGGUCUCCUACAGCACCCCCAGGCUUGUUAGGAUUGGGAAAUUCCAGCCUGGCGAAAUUCUAGUCAGACUGGUUCUCUGCUCUUGAACCCUGUUUCCUGUUAAGAUGUUUAUCAAUGACAAUGCAUGCACAGUGGGACAGGGUACCUUAUCAGUAAUUCUAAUUUUGCCCUGGCCUUCUGACCUUGCCCUGCCCAUUUGCCUUGUGAUAUUUUGUUGCCCUUGAAGCAUGUGAUUUCUGUGACCCACACCCUAUUCGUACACCCCUCCCCUUUUGAAAUCCAUAAUAAAAACUUGCUGGUUUUGUGGCUCAGGGGGCAUCACAGAAUCUGCCGACAUGUGACAUCUCCCCCGGACACUC